GAAAUAGUGCCUGUCCCAUAGAACCAUCACCCCUCAGAACUGAGCCUGGAUGUCAGCCGUGGCCAUGAUGGCUCCGUCUCAUUCUGUCACAGAUCGUCUUUAUAAGCCAGACAUUUCAGUGCUAUAAACUGAUGAGACACCCACAGAAUUUAACAGAAAUCGAAGGUGUGGAAAGGAUCUCAGACAAGCGAAUCCAUCACUGUUACUGUACAGAUAAGAAAUGGAGGCCAAAUAGGAUUAGCAACUUGCUCAGGACUCCACAGGACCAUCAUGUGUGAUCAACUCGAAGAAAGCGAAUCACUUAGUUUUUCAUUUUAGCAACAAUACUAGUACAAAAUGACUUAUGCUAACAUUCUUCCUAUAUAUAUUUCAAUUAAAAAUAGUACGCUGAAUAAUCCACUUUUUAUUAUCUACAUCACCUCUCCAGUCUGUAUGCUUCAUUAACUGACAAUUUGUUAUCUCUGUUUUUAAUCACUCUGUAAGAGAUGGAAUUAAUUUUUCCUAUGUCUUCUUUCAUUUUCUCGGCUAAACACAUCCACUUUUAAUGAUUUCAAAAUAUGGUCCCUGUUAGUCAUUUUUCUGCCUUAAAAGCUGGAAUCUUAGGUGGACAUUUUGGAGGCCUAGG
rnacentral:lncRNA from 10 species